CAGCAUUUUUGUUCAGUGAAUCUUUUGUAAAUUGCUUUACAAUAGCAAAAGAAGUUCCAAUCCCGCAAGAGAGUUCACUCACCAGUGGGCUUCAUCAACAGACCAGGGCAAAGUCGGUCUUUCCCGCUACUACAACAUGCUACUUAACUAUGUCUGGAAGCCAUGGCUGCUGCCCUCAACAUGCUAAACUGAAACCCUCACAAAUAAAGUCACAAAUCAAGAAUUAACAUGGAUGGUGAUGGUGGCAAGGGUGCCUUCAUAAGG